UGUUGAUACACGCAUCCAUGCUCACAGGAC
rnacentral:piRNA from 1 species